GUUACACCAUUCUGUGAGAGAAAUAGGGGCCUGCUAACAACUCAGCACUUCCCAUGAUUCUCUGGGGGGAGCCAUGGCAGUUAAAGUGGUAUGAAACUGUUUUAAAUGUAUGGUGCAGAUAGAACGCUAGAACCUGACAGGCUUUCAAACAGAGGGCUCCUUCAAAUUGAGGAUUUUCUUCUGACAGCCCCCUUGAAGUAGGACAGAUGACCGUUUAUAUCACAGCAAUGGCAAGAAACCUGAACAAGUCUUAAAGAAAGGCUUUAAUCCAGCCUGUUCCCCACUGUACUAGUUUUCAACUUGAUAUGCGUACAUAUACAGUAGUGGAUUUAAAAAUCGAUUCCCUCACCUGAAGUGAUUUCAACCCAUUAUACUGCUUUAUUCAUACGAACAAAGGAAGGGGCCUCUUAUUUGGUGAGAACUGCCUAUCUAGCCCAGUAUUAUCCAUUCUGAGUGCCUGUGUUUUUCAGAGACUCAAGCAGCCCCCUCCCCAUCAUUCAGUCCUUUCAACCAGAGUUGCCAGGGAUCUUUUGCAUUCAAAGCUCUACCACUGAGCAACAGCCCCUGCUACCUCAUGUAUGUGCAUACCAGGGCAUAGUCUUCCUUUGAGGAUGGCACAACUCAGUGUGCAUUAUAAAUAUGACUACAUUGAGCCUGUGAUUAGAAUGCACCUGCUUAAAUCUCUGAAGUUCAUGGAUUAGGAUUAUUCAGAGCUCUGAUUCAUUUUGUCAGUUUUGUGCUAUGUACACAGCAUGUAGAGGAAUUUGGAUCUAAUGUUUGCCUUCAUUAUAAUUAGACACUAUCUUUUAGCAUAUAAUGACGGUGACAGUCUCAGAAACCCCAUCCUUUGAAUCUGCAUGUUUCUCACACACUUGGCUGCCGAGAUCUCCUGGAUAGAUAGUUUCUAAUUAAUUGGUUGGUUUGUUAGGACAAUUUAUUGGAUCAGUUCCAGAACCUGCAAUUAUUCCACAGGCAUUUGCUGAGUUACUCCAAAGGAGGAUUGAAUGAACCUGGAGACUCGCCCCACACCACCCCCAAGCACAUCAUUUCAUUGUAAUAUUCCAAUGAACAUGAAGAUGGGCCCAUCAGACUGGCACAUGCUGAGAACUCAGUAUGUUCUCAUCGGCUGAAAGGAAGAAUGGCAGCAGAAAUAAGAGAAAGGAUCAGAUAAAGGAAAUAAGAAAAGAGAAGGAAGUUGAGCUUCCAGUAUCUAUCUCUAUACCUGUAUAAUAUGGGUGAUUUUUACGCAGGUGAAUCAAAAGCAGUAUAAGUAUGCUAUACAUUAAUUUUGAAUAUGGGUGUGCAUUAGCUCUCUGCAUACCCAAACAACAAGGAUAAAUUAGAAGUGUUUCAGAUCAUGGAUCACACUGUUAGCAAGCAAGGUGCCUCAAGGCAUAUUUGGGUCACUUGGUAGUCAAGGUCUGAGUUUAUUUUUGGACUUGGUUUUUCCAAAAUGUUAGAUACAGAAAUUUCCCUCCUCUUCUUUUCUGAGAAACAAAACCAAGCUGACUGGGGAAAUGCCCAGAGGGCUGGCGAGAAGAGGGGUGUUUUUUUUUAAAAUCAUACAUCUCUAAAAAAUUUUCAUCAUAGAAAACAGAAAAAGUGCACAGAAACCCAUUGAUGAAUCUGCCUGAAAUUUAUGUGAAAAAAAACUUUUAUACUUGUUUAUACUCAAUGGAAGCAAAACAGUUCUUCAGAUUUACCAGGUCAGAUUCAGACACGAAAAAUGAAUUGAAUUGGCACAACACAGAGAAAAUCUGAAACAGAGUGGGUUGUUUUCAAAUGCCACAGAUACAAGAUGAAUCUUGUGUUUGCUGCACACAUUUAAUAUAAAUAAAGACUGGGGAUUUGUUGUUGUCGUUUAGUCGUGUCCGACUCUUCCAUAAACAACCACCCCACCCUCUGAUUACUGAACACACCUUUGUAAAUGAGUGCAGAAUUGUUCAAAUGAGGUGAAGAGGGAACAUGUUACCAUAAUCUCUGAUCCAGAACCAAUCAUGCAUAUCUAGGUAACUGGGACACAAUGUUGAUCCGGUUGUGCUUUGGGGUAUACAAUGCACAAAACCAUCCUGCAACCAGCCCUUUCAGCUUUAGCACUAUUGUUACAGCUACAGCGUUAAUGGUUCAAAAACGGCAGUGGUGGUGAUUUUUAGACAGCGCCCAGAGACUGUAAGGGUUGCAGCUGCAUUUCUGCAGCCCAAUCUCUGAAUGAAGCAGAGAGACGGAACAUUACCCAGCAAUUGUCAAUGUGGAAACCACAUUGGCUGCCAAUUAUCUUCAGAACUAAAUUCAAGCUGCUAGUGUGAAGAGAUCAUUGUAUUUGGUGCUGGUAACUGGCUUAAUAGCUAUUGACACAGACUCUUCAUGCAAUUCCUGAUCUGCCCAUACAACCCAUUCAGUGUAACUAACAAGAAAGCUCUUUCUCAUUGAAAGGGCAAAUGAAAUCACCACUUCUUACUGGUAGAGGAAGAUACCUGCAAGUUACUGCACUUGAAAUAGUUUCUGUGCUUGAAACUAGGGAGAAGUUGGAGAUCUGUUAUUCAAGCUGGAAUGGAAAGUGAUUAAUGUUGUUGUUGAUUUUAUUGCUGUUAACAUUAAUCACCUGCCCUCCACCCUAACAUCCCUGGGAGGGUUCCAACAUUAAAAUACAACACAAAAAUAUAUAUUAAAGCGAUUUAUAUUAUGCAACUGAUUUUGGGGGGUAAGAACCAUGUGCGAACAUAUUGUCAGCAACUCCCUUGCAGACUCCAAUUUCUCUUGUAGCAACUGAAAGCAGUUUGAUGUCUCAUCCCAAACCGUAAUGGAAACCAUCCCUCUUACUGACCACCAGAAUUGUGCAAAGCUCAGUGGUUACAUGUAUAGCCUCUAGAGAGCACCACAUUGGCCAAUGGUUGCCAUGGAAUGCAUUUUUCAGGACCAGGACCUGCCAUGUCCUGAAGGAACCUGCCUCAGGGGGCACCAUGACCAUGAAGAGAGAUUAAAAAAGUUAUGGGUCUGACUCAUCUAGCAAUACUUUAAAAAAAGCAUUGGCUCUGUCUCAGGCAGCAUCUGGAUUCUGCUGUAGGCAGCAAAAUGUCCUGGAGAUGAUUUAUUUAUGUUUUCUGUCCCCACCCCUUCUCUCCAUCUUGCCACCCAUCAUUUCCCCUAGUACCUCUUGUUUCCCUCCAAUUUGCUUUGAAAUGUUUAAGUGUAAGAUCUAUCUAUCUAUCCGCCUGUCUUCACAUGGCAUGGUGAUCUGAGCAUGCUCUGUAACCGGCUGCAUGCGUGUCUAUCGAGGCAGGACAUGCCUAUGUUCAUUUAUGCGCUAUGACAUGGUAAGCCUAACCUUCGCUAAGUACCACUCGGAAAGUGUGCCAGCAUCUUCAUAACAGCUGGCACAGCUGAAAAACUUGCCUGCCUUAUUAACACUCGACUUAUCUGGAAUAUGCUCACAGAGCAGAAACAGCUUCAUAAAUCCUUGUGCAAUUUGCAUUCUUCUUCACAGUUGCUCAUUACGACUGACCUCCCUCCUUCUGCCAGAGCUGAUCAGCCUCCCGCUCCCCUGAAUUUGAAAUGCCUCUCUACUACCAUAGCUUAUUAGUAGUGGUGGUGGUGAUGCUGGUGGAAAUGGCAGCUGCAGCUCCUCUGCUAACUUGCCUGUGCUGAGUUAGGAAAGUUGCACAGCCCCCAGGCCUCUCUUAUCAUAUUUAUAUUUGUCAUUUCACUGGUUGGUUCAAGACUGGCUUACUACAAUGCACACUAUGUGGGGCUUCACUUGACCUGGAAGCUGCACACUGUGCUGUAGGAGUGAGACCCUGUCAGCAAAUAUCACACCACGAUUGAGGGGAGCCUGGGGCCACGUGACAUCAAUGGAACUUUGGGGUGGGGGCAGACAUUUCAUUGGAAAUUUCCAAAGCUUGUUGGUUGGACCUGUAAAUCUUUCCUCAGAAUCCAAUUGAUAGAGUAACUAUCCUCCUCUGAGGAGAUUUUGGGAACUGCAUGUGGCACCUGGUGAGGUAGAAUUACCUUUGGCUAGCCUGGAGUUAAUAAGCAGCUGAGACAAUGCUGAAUAACAUGUCAAAUAAUUUGUGGUGGCUGAGACCCAUAUUCCAUAUGUCACUCAGUUAUAUACUGUAUUUCUCCAUGUAUAAGUCGCCCCCAUGUAUAAGACACCCCCUACUUUUGGGGACGCCAAAUUUAGAAAAUGGGCAUAUGCACGAUCCGUGUAUAAGACGCCCAGAUUUUUAACCUUCUUUUAAAGUAAAAAAAAAUCCAAGUCUUAUACACGGAAAAGUACGGUAUAUAUUUGUACUAUAUUUCGUUGUUAAAAACCUAAAAGAUACACUUGCCAUCUGGAGCAGAAAACAAGCAUAGGGGAGAGGAGCAAAAGGCAGUAUUGGUGGCAGAGUUUGAGAGGCAGAAAACACUAGAUGCCAAAGGGUUAAGAAUCCUCUCCCCUCUCCCCUGGAUACUGCCUCUAUAUUUUAAGUUAGAAGAAAAAGAAUGAAAACGCUGGAGAGACAGAAAAAAUUACACAUAUAGUUUAUGUCUCAUGGAUCUUGGGGAUAUUUUGACAGCUCCUCCUUUCAAAAAAAUCUGUCUUCUGAAAUGCAGUGAGCUCUUUUUAAUUGCAUCUCAUCCAUCUAUCAUUCCAGGUAGAGUCCAGCUGUGAUUUUUCCAUUUCCCCAAUAUCCUUCUUUUAAUAAGGUGACCAGCACGGGGUAAGUAUCAUUUCCUUAUUAUUAAUUAUUACUAUUUCAGCUGUACAGCCAUGUGUUCAAGCUGUCUAACUAUAGUCCCUAAGAACAUGCCCUGAUCAGCAUUUUAUCUUCCCAACAGCACUUCUUGAUUGGGGUUUCACUCAUUCUGCAAUCGGCUGACUGGUGCUUAUCCUUCCGUGAACAUCCUCUCAGCUGCCAAUGUGCACCUUUAUGUUUAUCAAUUACAUUUCAAAUUUUGUGCUUUUUCUUUUCUUUGCUACUCCCAUAGAGCCUCAGACUCUCCCAAAACACACUUAGGACAUGGACUUCUACAUCAUAUUGCAUCAUAUGUCAUAUAUUGGCUAGCCAUGACCAGAAUCUUUCUCUUUGCACAUGACCCUUGCAGUUGUCUGUGACUGCCAUGAUAAUCUAGGUGACAAGGACUUCAACCCUUGAAGAUAGCCUAGUCCAGGCUUCCUCAACCUCAGCCCUCCAGGUGUUUUUGGCCUACAACUCCCAUGAUCCCUAGCUAGCAGGACCAGUGGUCAGGGAUGGUGGGAAUUGUAGUCUCAAAACAUCUGGAAGGCCGAGGUUGAAGAAGACUGGCCUAGUCAAAGAUGCCAUAGGUUUGGACAAAUCAAUGCAUCUCCUCUGCUCCAGACCCACCAAGAUCACUCCAGGAGCAGAGGCAGUGGCAUGUCCCCUGCUAGCAGGAAGUAAACCAUCUCAGAGUCUGACAUGUGUCCAGCAUGCCCUGGAUCAAGGCCCUGGUGACAGUCAAGAAAUGGCUAGAAAACAGCCUUGCUACAGAGUCAAGACCUUGCUACUGAGGUGUUCCUUGCUGGAGGUGGGCUUCCUUGUUAUCCUGAUCAACCUGAUCUCUGACUUGUUGGUUCUCCAGAGCUCUUAGUACUGAAGGAUUUUGAGCCACAUGGCAGAGGUGGCAGUAACAAGGCAGUAAUGUGGAUUGUACAAGAUGCUUCCAGGUUCAUCCCUUGAAAAAUGCUGUUGAUGCACCACAAUCCAUUCAGAACACUGGUCGUGCUAGGAGACUCAGGUCCGUUUCUGAAUCCUGUUUCCCCUAAACCAUACCCUGCUACUUUGCAUUGCUGCCACACACCUUAUUUUCUGCAGUUUGAUAGGUUUAAGACAUACCUGGGAUUCUUGAUGAAUCCCCCAGUCUUGAACUGUGCCCCACCUGCAACCUCUGCUCUGAGCUCUUUCACUCCGAAGUCAUAUCCUCAAUUUGUAAUAAUGUAAACCCAAGCUACUUACUGACAUUUGAAGCCUACUUCCGCAAUCCUCAAAUUUAAACUGAACUUUUCCUAGCAAAUGUUAAAAAGUAAACAUGUUUGCAUUCCAAAGCAGAUCAUAUUGCAAUUUUUGUUGCUAUUCAGAAACAGUAAUAGCAGAAGGCUGCAUAUCACAGGGAAACAAUUGCAUAGGAAAUCCAAUUGUCCUUGGAAGAAUUAUCAGACUAAAUUUAGAAAUGUCAGUCAGUCAUUAAAUUACAAAACAGAGGGAUUUUAAUCCUACUGUAGGUGAAAACUCAUUGUAGCCUUAAGUAUGGAUUUACACAUUUAUAAUAAGACGAAAAAUAAGAAGGAAGAAAAUCACAGUUUUUUUUGUUUUUUUUUAAGCUGCAAGUCUAAGACACAGAGUGGAACGCAGUCAGAAAUACAGCAACACUGAUAGUAGCAAUUUGGCUAUGGCUAACAAAUUGUCCAACUUGAGUUCUACCAGCACAGAUAUCACAGGCCCCUGACCAAACUUAGCAGAAUGCCACAGUGUGAUAAGCAAUUAAUAAUAUACAGGUAAUCAUAUGCAGGUGACCAAAGUAAGAAAUAUGUUUAUACACACUCCAAUUUCCUAGCAGUAAGUGAUUUCAGGGAUGCCAGCACAUACCUCAGGUUUGGUUCCCUUGGAAAGAAGGUCACUGCAUACAUUGGCUUCUUCAUGAUAUAUGGUUUUAUGUACACAUGUAUAUUUGGGAAUGUUAAGGAUAGUAGGAAAGGAUAUAUUGAAUAAGUAUUAUACUUCCUUCACCCAGGCUAGUAAGUGAUGUAGCAGAGCAGUAUAUACCUCAAUAUAGCUGGAAGCUAGUUUGCAGAUUCAUUUGGUUCUCUUAGUUAAGUUUAUUCCUGGUAUCCCCUUUAGAUCCCCUUCUCCUUGUGCCCUCCAUCUUUCCCAACAUCAGGGUCUUUUCCAGGGAGUCUUCUCUUCUCAUGAGGUGGCCAAAGUAUUGGAGCCUCAGCUUCAGGAUCUGUCCUUCCAGUGAGCACUCAGGGCUAAUUUCCUUAAGAAUGGAUGCGUUUGAUCUUCUUGCAGUCCAUGGGACUCUCAAGAGUCUCCUCCAGCACCAUAAUUUAAAAGCAUCAAUUCUUCGGCGAUCAGCCUUCUUUAUGGUCCAGCUCUCACUUCCAUACACUAAGUCUUUACUUAGUGGCUACAAAAUAAACUGUGAGUUCAUCUCAUAGGGAGACUGAACUCAGGUGCUGCUGGCUGAGAGCCAGCAGAAAGAAAAAUUACAUUAAGAUAACAAAAUGGCUACAGGAGAGCAGCAUGGCAGCAAAAGAUAGAACAAGACAAGACUGCAAGACUAAAAUAGACUGAGAAAAUGGUUGCAUGACUCGGCUCUUUUAUGGAGUGAGCCAGGACCACACCCAUCUCGCAGGUCACAUGCUGGGGGAAGGAUGAUUCAAUCAGUGGGACAGGAAGUUACACUGACCGGAUGUCCUCCUGCCUGUGCCCACUCUAGGGAAAUAAGGAAUGUUGCAUUUGACUGUACCAAUGGAUUACAUCUCACAGUGUACAUAUUCAGCAUAAGAUAGAAGGGUUACAGCACAACACUCCAGCAGAUCUUACUCCUGCAUUGGGUUUCUAGGAGUCUUCUUCAAAAGCCAUAGCCAUGGACUCAGCACAGAGAGAAGAUCAGGCCUCUUUGUUUUCCCAGCUCCAGAGAAUUCUGGCUCUUGUCCAUUUUUUCUUCUUAUACUCCAGUGACAUCACCUCCAGCCAGGGGAAGAGGGAAUAAUAGAAAUGUAGAGCUGGAAAUAACCCAAAUCACCUGCAAUGCCUGCCCUCUUCUAGAAGCAUCACUCGCUAGUAUUUUCUGUUGUGAUUGGUCACCUGGACUUCUUAGUCAUGUAAAGAGAAACAUAACAGACUAGGGUCAUCAAAGAGACCCACUUCAACAGUUCCUUCUACAUCAGAAUCCCACCUUAUAGACAUAAAACCACAGGCACAGAAACCCAAAUAGGGGGAUUAUCUGCCUUCCUUCUGUUCAGUGCUACUGGGUAUGGGAAGAAGUGACUUGUCCAGUUCUUCCUAGGCAUAGGGCUGCUGGUGGUGCUAUGGUCUAAACCACUGAGCCUCUUGGGCUUGCCGAUCAGAAGGUCGGUGGCUUGCCAAUUGGAAGCUCAGUGGUUUGAAUCCCUACGACAGGGUGAGCUCCCGUUGCUCUGUCCCAGCUCCUGCCAACCUAGCAGUUCGAAAGCACACCAGUGCAAGUAGAUAAAUAGGUACCACUGCUGCGGGAAGGUAAGCUGCAUUUCUGUGCACUCUGGUUUCCGUCACAGUGUUCCGUUGCACCAGAAGCGGUUUAGGCAUGCUGGCCACAUGACCCGGAAGGCUGUGUGUGGACAAAUGCUGGCUCCCUCAGCCUGAAAGCGCCGCAACCCCAUAGUUGCCUUUGACUGGACUUAACCGUCCAGGGGUCCUUUACUUUUUUCCUAGACAUGUCAUUGGAUGCAUAAACUGCAAAGAACAAAAGAACAGAGUUCCUGGGCUCUGAGCUAGUGGAGAUUCACAAAUAAGCCAAAGGAAAACAGCACCCACAACCUCAUCCCAACCAUGUGACCAGCUGCAACAGAAGACUGGGGUGAAUCAGUUAAUAAACCAUGAUAUUGAUGUUAUGACAUUUAUAUCCCAACUUUCUUCCAUCACAGAACCAAGGCAACAAAAAGUGGUUGUUCCCAAGGAACUGACUAGACCCACACAUUGAAUUGCUUAGCUUCAGCUAGAGCAUGACCCUCAUGGGUUUUCAGACCAUAGAGGAAAGUUUUGUUGGUGAAAAAUGUAUUGUAGCCUUAUGUAUGGAUUUACACAAAACAACCAGUGCUACACUUUGGAGUAACUACUGAAUGGUGUGCAAUCUUCUGCAAUUUUCAUCAUUCCAUCCAUUUCCCCGACGCCCAAAAGGGAUAGAGACAGUGUUAUCCAGAUAGUGUGCUCAGGUACUCUUGGCUGCAUGGCAACAGCAACCAGGGAAUGAUUUAACAUGACCUUCAUUUGGCAUCCAUAAUGUAUAGAGAAGUCCCUUGAGAUUUCUAUUUUUUUUAUUGUUCAGAGAAAGAGUCUGGAUGUGAUAAUCCAUAUUAUUGAUUGCUUUAAAUUCAUUAGUAGUUGGCAUGUUCAGUGACACAUUUGAAAAAUAUCCUCAAGUAUGCUGAUAUAUUACAGGGAAAAUUAGAAUGAAGACUUCUAUCUCCUUGGGAUAUUUCUACCUCUGAGGAUAGUACUUACUGAGUGGAGAGAGAGAGAGGUAUGUGGGAUCCAACACAGCAUAUGCAUCCUAUAAAAUAAAUGUUAAUUUAAUUGCUGAAAGAGGCCGCUGGUCAGUCCCGUUUGGAGAAUGGCUAUUUAAACAAGUGUAUGAAUAUUGAUUAUGUGGAGCUGAAGGAAAUGUUUAUCAUUCUUAAUUGCAAUACAAUCGUUACUCUGGAGUUAAACAUUUGAGCAGAAUACUCAAUGUAUAAUGCAAAUACAGCCAUUAAUUUGCCUUGACAAAAUCAACAGCAAUAUGUAUAUCAUCAAAGUAUGCCCAGAGACAUAUUGCAGUUGUAGGACUGAGAGGCCUCUGGAGGAGGCACCAGUAUUGUGCUUGGAUAAAUGGUGGCUCUGUGGCAUAUCAGAACCCUGUUCAACCCAACUUGAGACAGCAAUGCUUCCAUAUACACCUGCUCUCGACUGAUGAAAGGGAUUUUUAAAAAAUUGCUCCAUUCCACCCUCUGCCACCAUUCCACCACUUAGAAUAAGCAUGACCAUCUUAACAUGCAUACACACACCAGUAUUUGUGACUAUGGCCCACUAUGUGGAAUGAAAAUUCACACACCCUUAUUCCUAGCUCACGCACUCACUGAGCCAGCGAUCUGAUUCAUGUGCUAGAAGGAAAUGUUGGAAUUGAGCACCCACAUCAUCGCCAUCAUUCUUUCCAACAGGUCCCUGAAAUGUUUAUCAUGUACAAUUCAACACAGAGGAAAUCCUAGAACUGCUCUAUGAAGGGCAGUAUAGUACAUAUUGUAAAUAAUAAGUAAGGAUAAAGAUGGGCAGAAAAGUGGGGGCUUGGGUGAACUGCAGUAGUGGUGUGGCAGAGCCAUCUUCCUGGCAUGGCCCACCUGAAUGUGGCUGGGACAAACAAAGUGACAAUGAGGGUGGUGGCAUUGAUGCACUGGAGGAAUGCCAUAUCACUUCUGCCAAUGUGGCUGCACAGCCCCACCCAUUCGUGCCCAAGCGCUCUUUUUUUGCCCCGGAGCAAUUCGUACAAUUAGCUUUAGCUGUGUAAUGUAACUCCCCCAUCCUCUCCUCUCCUCGUUCCUCCCUGCAUCCUCCAAAUCUUCUCCAGAGGGUUGAGGAUGUACUCGGUCAUUUGCAUGGAAAGCAGAUGCUCUGUAACUGAGCUGCAUCCCUUCCCCUAUAUUCUUAAAUGAUAGAUAGAGAGGUUUUAGCAUCAUGCCACAUAUGACCUUUCGGGGGGAAACGCAGUAUGGGGGUCAAUAUUGUGUAGGGCUUAGUAACUCUUGCAACCUAAGAAUAGACACCUGUGCUUUUGUAAACCUUCUGUUCACUUAAAUAGAACAUGUGUAGGAGAUUCUCCUCUCUGGUGUGUUUCCCUCAACCCAACACAGAGCAGAAGAGUAACGGAUUCUCUUGCAGGAAUUCAUGUUCUAGACCAUGAUUGGAGAACUCCAAGGCAUCCAGAUGUUGUUGGGCUGCAUCUACCACCGUCCCUGGCUAUGGGCCAUGCUAGCUGGGGGUGACAGGUCAAACAGUACUUGGAAGACCACUGCACUCCCCCUUCCCUAAAUCUAAACCAAUGUUUGAUUGAACACUGUAUAAUGUAGAGUUGAGGACAUUAUUAUUCACAAAAAAGCACCCUGGAAAGCUUCAAAGCAAGACAGGAAAACUUCAGGUUUUAAUACUAAUUAGAAGCUCCUGUCUCCUAGGUGUGAGGUGUUUAUCUGUGGAAAGCAGGAGAUAGCGUUGCAAAGAAGAAACGUGUACGCCGGGGAAUUGAAGAUCCAGCAAGUGGCUGACUGGAUUAAAAAACAACAACCCGCACAUGCCAUAAAAAAACAGAACAACAACCAACGCUCCCCGCCCCCACAACAGCAGAUGAAUUAAGAUGUUGUGCAGCACAUGACGGCUUCAACGAAACAGCUCGUGGUUUCCCCCUGCUAAUUCAGAAAUACCUGAAGAUGACACACCUGCAGC
rnacentral:lncRNA from 1 species